rnacentral:piRNA from 1 species
UACUGGACUUAGAGUCUGAGGAGAGGC